rnacentral:tRNA from 1 species
GGAGAGGUGUCCGAGUGGUUGAAGGAGCACGCUUGGAAAGCGUGUAGCCUCGCAAGGGGCUCGCAGGUUCGAAUCCUGUUCUCUCCGCCA